rnacentral:rRNA from 1 species
GAGUUUGAUCAUGGCUCASGMUGAACGCUGGCGGCGUGCUUAACACAUGCAAGUCGAACGAAGCAACUUAUUACGAUCCCUUCGGGGUGACGAUUUGUUGACUGAGUGGCGGACGGGUGAGUAACGCGUGGGUAACCUACCUUGUACAGGGGGAUAACAGUUGGAAACGACUGCUAAUACCGCAUAAGCGCACGGUAUCGCAUGAUACAGUGUGAAAAGUUUUUCGGUAUAAGAUGGACCCGCGUCUGAUUAGCUAGUUGGUGAGGUAACGGCCCACCAAGGCGACRAUCAGUAGCCGACCUGAGAGGGUGACCGGCCACRUUGGGACUGASACACGGYCYAAACUCCUACGGGAGGCAGCAKUGGGGAAUAU